rnacentral:rRNA from 1 species
UACGAGGGGGGCGAGCGUUGUUCGGAAUUAUUGGGCGUAAAGGGUGCGUAGGCGGUUUGGUAAGUCUGAUGUGAAAUCUAUGGGCUCAACUCAUAGUCUGCAUCGGAAACUGCCGGGCUUGAGUGUGGGAGAGGUGAGUGGAAUUCCUGGUGUAGCGGUGAAAUGCGUAGAUAUCAGGAGGAACACCAGUGGCGAAGGCGGCUUUCUGGACGAUAACUGACGCUGAGGAGCGAAAGCGUGGGGAGCGAACAGG